AUGCAAUCGUGUGAUUUCUGCGGUGAGAAUACCCACGGUGUCUCAUUCAAACUCCCUUUAAAAGAGGAACAUCGUCGCCUCUGGAUAGUGAAUAUGGGUAAAGACGCGGAAUGGACUCCAUCUGAAUCCUCGUCUCUGUGCUCCGCUCAUUUCACUCCGGAUUGCUUUGAAUCUGGAUCAGCUCGUUUACACUCAGACGCGAUUCCGACUGUGUUUAAUUUCACACAAUCUAAGAAUCAGAUGCUAAAGGACACUGAAAAUCUCCCUCCACACCAAGGAGCACCUGAAUCCACCGACUCAUCCAGAUCAUCCUGCUCUGACUGUUAUAAACAUCUGCAGGCCACAGAAAGAAAUUACCAGCUGAAAUUAGCUGCUGCUCAGCUUCAGAUAAAAGAGUACAAAAAGAAUCUAGCAGAGGAGUCACGGAAAGCAACACAAUGGCAGAAGCGAGCAAUAGUUUUGCAGAGCGCAAUCAGAGCAAUGAAACAAAGGGGGUCAAUACCUGCAUCAAGAAAAACAUCUACACCUAAAAAUAAUCAUUUGGACUGA
ensembl:lncRNA